GGGCCUGCCGCUGCUCUGGGCGGGCGGGCGCGCCCCGGACCUGCCUUGGCGGGGAGCAGGCACCAGUUCCGCCAGCCCGCGCUGGGACUCGCCCUGAGAGGCGUUUCCCGGGGGCGGCGGCGGCGGCGGCCUCUUCGCCCUCCCGGCCGCCCUUGGCCGGUGCUCUCCCACCUGAGGCGGGCGCGGGCGGCUCCGGCCGUCCGAGCUCCGCUUGGGCGACCGGCCUCCCUCGGGGAGGGGGCAGCGGAGCCGCCGCUCGCGGCCCUGCCGCCGGAGAAGCAGCAGCGGCGCCUGGGAACUUUUCUACAGGGUGUUCGCAACUUGUCUGAAAUGCGGCUGGGGCGAGUGGGCGCCUCUGAUCUCCCUCCCUCUCCCCCCCCCCCCGGGUCUGGACUGUGGCCCGGGCUGCUUCCCUGCCUGCCCCUUCUCUGCAGCCCCGCCGGGGCAGAGCUGCGGGGGCGAACUCCAGAGGUGACCCCCGAGGUAGGAGCAACCUGUCCGCUGGGUCUCACCUGUUUGUGUUUUGGUUCCAGCCUGCCCCACGCUGUAACACUACCCGCAAGUGCUACCGAACAGGACGCGGCCGGAGCGAGAUCUGCAGGUGCAGCGACUGGUACUUCAGCUCACCCUCGCCUGCUUUUUGCCCCCAGCUCUGGUUUGCUCUGCGCUGCACACAGGAGUUUUCUGUUUUCUGGCAGGAACAAAAACGGGAGCAGAAGUACUGAAGAUAAGAUCCACUGCUGAGUGUGCAACUUCAGGAAUAACCAUUUCCCUAUUCCAAACUACUAGCCACAGCAACUUGCUAUUUCACAUUAUCACGUGAAAAUUGCAUCCACUUCAUUUUGGAUACUUCUGUCACAGAUCAUAGAUGCAGAGAAUCUUCUCUUAAUGGCCAUGCAGUGUGGUGUUCCCUGGUUGAGUGUGCAGCUUAAAUAAAUUAUAAUGGAAGUUGAAAUAGGAAGAAUUGGACCCAACAACUAAUGGUGGAGACAGAAAACUAUGCUGUUGUCAUGCUUGUGAAAGGUCUCACGUCAGCAGCUCUGGAGAACACAGUUCUCUCUUCAGAAUGAGCAGCAGCUGGACAGGAUUUUCUGCGUGGUGGAGGGAGAGUAUAGGGGGAAAAAAAGGACUUGGAAUCUUGCCACAGUGUGUCUGAUGUUAAUGAGUGGGAGAAGCCACAUGUUCUUUGCCUGCUUCUGCGCUAAUCUGGUGAAGGAGUGAGAAAACUUCAAAAAAAGAAAAAAAAAAGAAUUUGAUUAAAUGUAAUGUUAAAUUGGGUGUAACGCUGUUAAAACAGACUGGGUUGUGAAAAGUACUGUCCCUCUAUGCAUGCCAAAACCAGAACUAGAGUAUUCACCUGAACCCUUUACAUUGAGGAGUCAGAUAAAAUUGGAUAAUGGGAAUAAAGAGUAUGUACUGGAGAAUUUAUUUUUUGAAGAUUGUUUACAAAUUACUAAGUUAAAAUGAUAUAUCUAUAAAACUUUCGAAAUUUCAAGUUUGAAAUUUCCAAAAAAGUUUUGUAUUUUUUGCUUAUUAUAUCUUGCUUGUUUAGAAACCUGAGGUUUUUCAGUAGCAAUUUAGAACAGAAACACUUUUGCUUAGCUUAUCAUUAAAAUGAAACUCUUAAAAGUCCAAAGCUGUGAUAAAAUAAUGUUAAAUAAUCUUUCCUUCAAAGUGCAGUUUCAAACCUUUUUAUUAAAGUGACUCUACCAACUUAAAAAUUGCUCCUGUUUUAAAAUGUUUUACCUAUUAUUGUUAAACAUAUGAUCUUAUAAAUGAAAUAUUAGGUAAAUACUUCUGUAUUUUUUUUCUUGUUUGCUUUGCAUCUUUGAUAGUACUUUGUUUAUAGUCCAUUUCACUUUGUCCUAUUAGAGUAUUUCAGGAAGCAACACAGGGACUGGAAACAGGUGUAUUUAAAUCUACUUGUAACGUUUUUUACGGAUGAGAUUUCAAGCUGACAGUACCCCUUUCUUGAGUGCAUCUUUAUCUAGAAGAACUAGGUCAGUGGGAAGAAGAUGCACCCCUGACAUCACUCCCCAGUUGUUCUGUCACACGAGUACUGCAAUGUUGAAGUGCAACCAACAACAAGGCUUUAUAGGCUGGACUGUGGCAAAUGGCAUUCAUUCAAUAGCCUAGCUAGUUUGGUUAGUGGGUGUAGUACAAUAUUAGAAGCAUCUGAGGGUGGGGGCUAGAUGGUGAGGAGAAAGGUGGGAAUAACUAGCCUAAUCCUUCCAAGAAGGUGAACUUUGAUUUAAAGGUAAACUGCUAAAGUUAUGUUAAGAAAUAAAAUUGAGUAGCUAUAAACCUGCACAUAUUAUCUGUUAUUAAAUAGCUAAUGCACUUAUUUUGUUUAAAUGCUUGAGAAAAUCUAUUUUUUUUCUUUGCUCACCUGUCAGUUUAUUCAGAGUUUUGUCUGCCCUGAAACAUUUGAUUUACAUCACCACAACCUGCCUCAAAACAUCUCGGUGCAUUCAGGUUUGCAAUGCUGUUGUCUGUAGCAUAAGCUUGGAAUGCUACUGGUUUUUGCCAGACUUAAAAGAAAAGAUGCCAUUUUAAAUUCUGAGACUAAACAAGUCAGAACUAAUUCUGUUACUGAUGCAAGGUCUUCUGCAUGUUGUUGUUGUUGUUUUUUUAAAUAAGCUUUGCCAUUUACCUUUUAAAGAAGCUAGAAUUCCUUUAUUACUGUCUAAUAAAAGAUCUUUAAGCUCAACAAUACAGAAUAAUCUAUACAGCAAAAACAAGUGGACUGCACAUUAACUAUUCCAUUACUGCCUUUUGAUUCACAUACUCUAGAUACUAGUAACGUUGUUAGUACUUUCUGAAGAGAGGUUUGACAUACUGAAGUUGCAUGAUGUACACUUCCGACUCUUUCAGUAUGCAGAAGGAAUGCUUAA